rnacentral:rRNA from 1 species
UCAAGUGAAUAAGUGCAUCAGGCGGAUGCCUUGGCGAUGAUAGGCGACGAAGGACGUGUAAGCCUGCGAAAAGCGCGGGGGAGCUGGCAAUAAAGCUAUGAUUCCGCGAUGUCCGAAUGGGGAAACCCACUGCAUUCUGUGCAGUAUCCUAAGUUGAAUACAUAGGCUUAGAGAAGCGAACCCGGAGAACUGAACCAUCUAAGUACCCGGAGGAAAAGAAAUCAACCGAGAUUCCGCAAGUAGUGGCGAGCGAACGCGGAGGAGCCUGUACGUAAUAACUGUCGAGAUAGAAGAACAAGCUGGGAAGCUUGACCAUAGCGGGUGACAGUCCCGUAUUCGAAAUCUCAACAGCGGUACUAAGCGUACGAAAAGUAGGGCGGGACACGUGAAAUCCUGUCUGAAUAUGGGGGGACCAUCCUCCAAGGCUAAAUACUCAUCAUCGACCGAUAGUGAACCAGUACCGUGAGGGAAAGGCGAAAAGAACCCCGGGAGGGGAGUGAAACAGAACCUGAAACCUGAUGCAUACAAACAGUGGGAGCGCCCUAGUGGUGUGACUGCGUACCUUUUGUAUAAUGGGUCAACGACUUACAUUCAGUAGCGAGCUUAACCGGAUAGGGGAGGCGUAGGGAAACCGAGUCUUAAUAGGGCGAUGAGUUGCUGGGUGUAGACCCGAAACCGAGUGAUCUAUCCAUGGUCAGGUUGAAGGUGCCGUAACAGGUACUGGAGGACCGAACCCACGCAUGUUGCAAAAUGCGGGGAUGAGCUGUGGGUAGGGGUGAAAGGCUAAACAAACUCGGAGAUAGCUGGUUCUCCCCGAAAACUAUUUAGGUAGUGCCUCGAGCAAGACACUGAUGGGGGUAAAGCACUGUUAUGGCUAGGGGGUUAUUGCAACUUACCAACCCAUGGCAAACUCAGAAUACCAUCAAGUGGUUCCUCGGGAGACAGACAGCGGGUGCUAACGUCCGUUGUCAAGAGGGAAACAACCCAGACCGCCGGCUAAGGUCCCAAAUGAUAGAUUAAGUGGUAAACGAAGUGGGAAGGCACAGACAGCCAGGAUGUUGGCUUAGAAGCAGCCAUCAUUUAAAGAAAGCGUAAUAGCUCACUGGUCGAGUCGUCCUGCGCGGAAGAUGUAACGGGGCUCAAAUCUAUAACCGAAGCUGCGGAUGCCGGUUUACCGGCAUGGUAGGGGAGCGUUCUGUAGGCUGAUGAAGGUGCAUUGUAAAGUGUGCUGGAGGUAUCAGAAGUGCGAAUGUUGACAUGAGUAGCGAUAAAGCGGGUGAAAAGCCCGCUCGCCGAAAGCCCAAGGUUUCCUACGCAACGUUCAUCGGCGUAGGGUAAGUCGGCCCCUAAGGCGAGGCAGAAAUGCGUAGUCGAUGGGAAACAGGUUAAUAUUCCUGUACUUGAUUCAAAUGCGAUGUGGGGACGGAGAAGGUUAGGUUGGCAAGCUGUUGGAAUAGCUUGUUUAAGCCGGUAGGUGGAAGACUUAGGCAAAUCCGGGUUUUCUUAACACCGAGAAGUGAUGACGAGUGUCUACGGACACGAAGCAACCGAUACCACGCUUCCAGGAAAAGCCACUAAGCUUCAGUUUGAAUCGAACCGUACCGCAAACCGACACAGGUGGGCAGGAUGAGAAUUCUAAGGCGCUUGAGAGAACUCGGGAGAAGGAACUCGGCAAAUUGAUACCGUAACUUCGGGAGAAGGUAUGCCCUCUAAGGUUAAGGACUUGCUCCGUAAGCCCCGGAGGGUCGCAGAGAAUAGGUGGCUGCGACUGUUUAUUAAAAACACAGCACUCUGCCAACACGAAAGUGGACGUAUAGGGUGUGACGCCUGCCCGGUGCCGGAAGGUUAAUUGAAGAUGUGCAAGCAUCGGAUCGAAGCCCCGGUAAACGGCGGCCGUAACUAUAACGGUCCUAAGGUAGCGAAAUUCCUUGUCGGGUAAGUUCCGACCCGCACGAAUGGCGUAACGAUGGCCACACUGUCUCCUCCCGAGACUCAGCGAAGUUGAAGUGGUUGUGAAGAUGCAAUCUACCCGCUGCUAGACGGAAAGACCCCGUGAACCUUUACUGUAGCUUUGCAUUGGACUUUGAAGUCACUUGUGUAGGAUAGGUGGGAGGCUUGGAAGCAGAGACGCCAGUCUCUGUGGAGUCGUCCUUGAAAUACCACCCUGGUGUCUUUGAGGUUCUAACCCAGACCCGUCAUCCGGGUCGGGGACCGUGCAUGGUAGGCAGUUUGACUGGGGCGGUCUCCUCCCAAAGCGUAACGGAGGAGUUCGAAGGUUACCUAGGUCCGGUCGGAAAUCGGACUGAUAGUGCAAUGGCAAAAGGUAGCUUAACUGCGAGACCGACAAGUCGGGCAGGUGCGAAAGCAGGACAUAGUGAUCCGGUGGUUCUGUAUGGAAGGGCCAUCGCUCAACGGAUAAAAGGUACUCCGGGGAUAACAGGCUGAUUCCGCCCAAGAGUUCAUAUCGACGGCGGAGUUUGGCACCUCGAUGUCGGCUCAUCACAUCCUGGGGCUGUAGUCGGUCCCAAGGGUAUGGCUGUUCGCCAUUUAAAGUGGUACGUGAGCUGGGUUUAAAACGUCGUGAGACAGUUUGGUCUCUAUCUGCAGUGGGCGUUGGAAGUUUGACGGGGGCUGCUCCUAGUACGAGAGGACCGGAGUGGACGAACCUCUGGUGUACCGGUUGUAACGCCAGUUGCAUAGCCGGGUAGCUAAGUUCGGAAGAGAUAAGCGCUGAAAGCAUCUAAGCGCGAAACUCGCCUGAAGAUGAGACUUCCCUUGCGGUUUAACCGCACUAAAGGGUCGUUCGAGACCAGGACGUUGAUAGGUGGGGUGUGGAAGCGCGGUAACGCGUGAAGCUAACCCAUACUAAUUGCCCGUGAGGCUUGACUCU